GGGCGCAGGGGAGGGGGCGCGGCGGAACUCCCCGGACCAGCAACACAGCAAUCAAAAAAAAAAAAAAAAAAAAGAAAAAAAGAAAACACCGCAAACAAUAAUAAUAAAUAACCCAAAUUAAGGGUCGGAGAGGCGUCCCACCUUGGUCACUCUUGGAAACCACCUCUUCCUCCCCUCCCCAAAUGCAAAACACAGGGGGUGAGGGUUAAAAAAAAAAAAAGAAAAAAAAAAAGAAGAAAAACAAAACAAAACAAAACAAGGAUAAAUUCUGCUCGGGAGGAGCAAAAGCGUCUGCGGAGGUCGGGACAGCCAGAGAGGGCUGGAGGGGAAGCCGGAGGUGGAAAGUUCUAACAAGAAGCCUCUUGCCCCAGCAGCCGCCGGGGCUGGGGAAUUCGCAGACGCCAGGUCCUGUGCUUCGUGUGGAUUAUCUUCCUGAACCAUCACGGCCACUGGCUGCUGGGGCUCUGUCCCCAUUCAACAAAUGAAGAAGCUGAAGCCCACAUACGGGGAGCAACUAGUCCAAGUUGUGCAGUUUUGGGUGGUGUCGCUAAAGCACAUGGAAAAAUCUGAUCUUCUGGACUUUGUGACUCUGAAGCCUCAGUCAGGUGUUUGUUGAGCUUAUGCUGGGACGUCAGUUUUGAAGGAAAAGAAUGACACCCUCCCCCGCAAAUCAGACGCUCAAUAUUGACAAUAUACUACGUGUUACAGUUCGCCUAAGGAGCAGGGCAUAAUUGGGAAUUUUAUACUUUUUUAUUUUUAAUCUCCCUGGGAAGAGAAGUCCGUUUUCCCACAGUUAGGGCAGUAAAACCCUCAAAGUGUGAGGAUACACAUUUAUCUCACCAGCAUGAUCCCAUGUUUGGAAAGAAAAAGCUGAAAGUACAUAUUCGUAUUUAUUUAGUCACCAUUUGGUCGGGAUUUACCGUGUGCCGGGCGGGCAGUAUUCUAAAUGCCUCACUUUCAUUGAAUUUAAUCCCUUUUCAUCAAAAUGGCUCCUUUGGAGAAGGAUCCGUAUUUCUCGUUUAAGUCUAUGGAAAGGAAGGUCAAGCAGCUUGGUCAAGUCAUGGAGCCAGUGAGUGGCAGGUAUGGAAUUCAAAUUUAACUCGGUUUUAUAUUCUGUUUCUCUCUCUCCUGGCUCUGGACCUGUGUCUUUCCCUGUCUCUCUCGGCGUGCACACACACGCGCGCACACACAUGUGCACACACACACAGAAACAAGAGAGGAGCACAUCAAGACAUCAACAGUGGCUGCCUCUGGAUGAUAGUAGGCGCGUGUGGUUUUCAUCUCCUUUUUAGGUCUUUCUACAUAUUCCUAACGGUCUAUAAUGGGCUUCUGUUAAGAAAAAUCCACCCGAUGAUCGUUAUGUACAAGUAUAUCGUUUUAGAGCCAGCAGGAUACGGGAGUUCUGGUGUGAGGCCACGGAGCCCCUGACCAUGGGCCUCUUCAAAAAAAUCUGCUAACAAAUAAGACGGGGAGCCAGAGCCUUUGCCUCUUGGAACUGCCUAAUCCGUCCUAUAAUACCUUGCUUUGUAGGAAAGUUCUGUGUGUAAAUCCCAUAAAAUCCCAUAAUGUGCAGCUGACACUGAGCCUACCCAGAACAAAAUCUGCUAAUGAUCACUGCUUGCCAGGAGCCUGCAGAAGUGACCAGGCAUCUGUCACAACCCCCCACGCCCGCCUCCCGCCUAAACCUUUUCUGAUAAGGGCUUUUUCCAUGAGUUUAUAAAAACACUUUGUUCGGA